GUGGGGAAUAUUGCACAAUGGGGGAAACCCUGAUGCAGCGACGCCGCGUGAGUGAAGAAGUAUUUCGGUAUGUAAAGCUCUAUCAGCAGGGAAGAAGAAAGACGGUACCUGACUAAGAAGCCCCGGCUAACUACGUGCCAGCAGCCGCGGUAAUACGUAGGGGGCAAGCGUUAUCCGGAUUUACUGGGUGUAAAGGGAGCGUAGACGGCUGUGCAAGUCUGAAGUGAAAGCCCAGGGCUCAACCCUGGGACUGCUUUGGAAACUGUGGAGCUAGAGUGCUGGAGAGGUAAGUGGAAUUCCUAGUGUAGCGGUGAAAUGCGUAGAUAUUAGGAGGAACACCAGUGGCGAAGGCGGCUUACUGGACAGUAACUGACGUUGAGGCUCGAAAGCGUGGGGAGCAAACAGGAUUAGAAACCCGAGUAGUCC
rnacentral:rRNA from 1 species